rnacentral:rRNA from 1 species
AUGCAGGCUGCAAAAAUGGAGGGCAUCACCGACUCGGAUGUUGUGUCCUGCUCAAGCACGUCAUUAAUGUGUGUUGGACAUGGACUCCACAUGGAAUGCUCUCGUUGCCACAUCAAAGAUGGCCUCAAGCCCCUAUACGGAAGUGUCCAGUCUUGCCGUUCUACCAUUUUCUCUAGAACAACGAUGUACAACUUCGACGGAACACGGAUCGUCAAUGCUCCACCUGAGAAUAAACUUCUCACGAGAAAUUACUUCUGGUGUUGCAAUGUAGCUAGAUUGGAGAGAAACAUGAUAGCAUCUUAA